AUGAAAAUUUUGAAGGCCACAACUUGCAGACUUGGAGGUUUUGAUGACUUCAACUUGCAAACUUGAUAGAUUUGGAGACUUCAGCU
rnacentral:pre_miRNA from 1 species